AAAGCCCAGCGCCGAAGCCUGUGACUGUUUGGUCACUCUUCAAUGUGGUCAUCUCCCUGGGUAGACCUUGGAGUCGGGUUGUUUGUGAUUGCAGCCCGAAGUGGGUGGUAAACUCCAUCCAAGGCUAAAUACUUGCACGAGUCCGAUAGCGAACAAGUACCGUGAGGGAAAGUUGAAAAGUACUUUGAAGAGAGAGUAAACAGUGCGUGAAACCGCUCAGAGGUAAACGGGUGGAGUUGAACUGCAAACUCUGAGAAUUCAGCUGGUGAGUGUGGUUUGGGCUUGGUCAAAGUGAUUGGCCUGGUGGGUCUGCUCAGCUGCAGGUCCCUGUCUUCGGGUGGGGAUGUGCGAGGCACUUGUCAAGUGUUGCGCGCCCGCAAGGUAACUCGGAUCAGCUCGCCAGUGCACUUUCUCGGAGUGUUCACCACGACCGGCGCUGCUGCCUGUCUGAUGUGGUCAAACCGGUCUUGCGUUGUCCUUGCGGCUCUGCUUGGUCGGGAUGGCAGGUAACUCGUUGGCUUGCGUGCUGGCCUCGGUUGGCAUGCGUUUGGCUUUCGAGCGUAAUCAGCUGACUAUGUCAGUACUGUGCAGUGCGUCGGAGACGGCGGCUUGUUGUGGGUGUUCGUGCUUGCUCGUUGACGGUCCCGAGUUUGAUUGUUAUGUUGCCUGUCUCUGAUAGGCCUGGUAAUAGCUCGGUUCUGCUUGGUGGGCAGUUGCGGAUGCUUACAUUUGGGGGCCAACAGUCUGUGGUGUAGUGGUAGACUAUCCACCCGACCCGUCUUGAAACACGGACCAAGGAGAGUAACAUGUGCGCGAGUCAUUGGGUGUUACGAAGCCCAGAGGCGCAGUGAAAGUAAAGGCUCGGCUUGUCUGGGCUGAGGUGAGAUCCUGCCGUUUCUCACGCAGGGUACUACCAAGCGUUUGAGCGGCGGGCGCAUCACCGGCCCGUCCCAUGGCGUGGACACGGUCUUCGGGCUGUGCACCGUCGGGGCGGAGCAUGAGCGCACAUGUUGAGACCCGAAAGAUGGUGAACUAUGCUUGCGCAGGUUGAAGCCAGAGGAAACUCUGGUGGAGGACCGCAGCGAUUCUGACGUGCAAAUCGAUCGUCAAACGUGAGUAUAGGGGCGAAAG
rnacentral:rRNA from 1 species